rnacentral:rRNA from 1 species
UUGACCUCGAAUCAGGUAGGAGGACCCGCUGAACUUAAGCAUAUCAAUAAGCGGAGGA